GCACCUUUGUGGGCCGGGUUACUUAGAGACCAGGCGGGAACUUGAGCUCCCUCUCUCGCAGACGUUCUGUAACAUCAGAAAAGCGUACCCAUAAACAGAUUGGUUUUCACCAGGGGUGGAACUCAAUUUGGACACGAUCCAGGCUGACCUGCAGGCCGGGGUUCCUACUUUGAAAGGCUCUUUGGUGCGCCUUACACCCACCUUCCCUGCUGUAAAGGUUUAGGCGGAAAAGAAAUUGCGUUUGCAGGAGGAAGUUGUUUCUGAGGUUACUGCUCAGCAUUUUCCAUUUUCUCAGUGGUGGGGUGGGCCGUGUCGCAUAUCCAGAAGUGAUGUCACAGCCAGACCUGCAAAAUGAUGUAACCUGCAAGUGUUGAAGGACGACGAUGGGACAGCUAUUUUGAUACUCGUAUUAUUUUAUAACAUUUCCCUGCUUUUUCCAUUGAGACAACUGUGUGACCUCAGAAAAUCCACAUAGCCUCUCUGAACUUAGUAUUUUUGUGUGUGUGUUAAAAUGAGUAUCACAAAGCCGGAGAACGAAUGUGAUGAAGUUCUGGGUGCUUGUGGAAUUCUUUCUAAGUUGGAGGUGGACACUUUAUCUACCUGCACAGGUGGAAGAUAUGUGGGUCUGGAACUCCGUGUAUGCCUCCUUGAGAACAUGAACCUUUAAACAACAACAACAACAAUAACAACACGAAGACAAAGUCCUGUCUGCUCUCCCAGGCUAGAGUGCAGCGUGCAAUCGUGCAAUCGCAGCCUACAGUAAGGUAGAAUUCCUGGCCUCAAGCUAUCCUCCUGCCCCACCGUGGCCUCCUGAAGGGCUCCGAUUACAGGAGGGAGCCACUGCACCCAGCCAAACCUGUCUUUUAUUCUGUAUCUCCUGUGCCCAGAGCAGUCCCUGGCCCUGAUAAGGGUUCAACAAAUAUGUUGAGUGAAUGAACAAAUACAUUCAGGAGUGUAGGGAUUGAUA
rnacentral:lncRNA from 10 species